CACCCCUGAUUUUUUAUAUAUUAUUAUUGGGCUUCGUGUAGGUAUCCUCAAUUCGCGGAAAUUCGACAGUUGUCCGGAUCUGUGAAUUUCCGGCCAGACAGACCAGCUACCGGAAAAGUCUCCGAAUUGGAUCGAGGUUUUGGCUACCCCACCAUUGUCAUGCAUCCCGAGCGCGUUCCCGAAGUCGGAAUCGGCAAAGGUGAGCCGGGACAGCCUUCUUCCUCCGCCCAGCCGCCACAGUAAUUUGUCGUCAAGUUUGUGAGUAAAAUAUUGAUUUUAAUUAUAAUUUCGAUAUUAUUAUAUGUUCAGCAUGCCCAUGCAUCACUUAUAUGCAUAUAUAUUUAUGUAGUUAAACUCUAGGCACGAUUUAUGAUGCAUUGAUAAAUGUUAAAGUGCCAUGAGUGUUGUUGUGGUAAUUUGGAGCAGUGUGCGUGCGUUGGCGUGCGUGUGAUGUGGUGUGGACUAUGGAUAGGACAGGUAGACACGGCUUGAGUUCUUCGCUGGGACCCGGUCCUUCGGGGUAGACACGGCUUGAGUUCUUCGCUGGGACCCCGAUUUGGUAUUAAGCGAAAGUCCGGCUUGAGUUCUUCGCUGGCACCAGGUUGGAUUUAAGAGAGCUGUAUAGGGGAUCAGCUCCCAAUAUAUUAUGAUU